GCCCUGCUGGCUCAAUGGUAGAGCGUCAGACUUCUAUUCACUGUGUAAUUAUUCAGUCCUAGACAUCUGAAGGCUGCGGGUUCGAGUCCCGCGUGGGGUG
rnacentral:tRNA from 1 species